rnacentral:rRNA from 1 species
AGUGAACGCUGGCGGUAGGCCUAACACAUGCAAGUCGAACGGCAGCACAGUAAGAGCUUGCUCUUACGGGUGGCGAGUGGCGGACGGGUGAGGAAUACAUCGGAAUCUACUUUUUCGUGGGGGAUAACGUAGGGAAACUUACGCUAAUACCGCAUACGACCUACGGGUGAAAGCAGGGGAUCUUCGGACCUUGCGCGAUUGAAUGAGCCGAUGUCGGAUUAGCUAGUUGGCGGGGUAAAGGCCCACCAAGGCGACGAUCCGUAGCUGGUCUGAGAGGAUGAUCAGCCACACUGGAACUGAGACACGGUCCAGACUCCUACGGGAGGCAGCAGUGGGGAAUAUUGGACAAUGGGCGCAAGCCUGAUCCAGCCAUACCGCGUGGGUGAAGAAGGCCUUCGGGUUGUAAAGCCCUUUUGUUGGGAAAGAAAAGCAGCAGGUUAAUACCCCGCUGCUCUGACGGUACCCAAAGAUUAAGCACCGGCUAACUUCGUG